GUCCACAGCCCCAGGAGGCCGCCUGAGUAAGGACCUCUGCGUUCGCGAGUUCGAGGCCCUGCGGAGCUGCUUCGCUGAAGCGGCCAAGAAGACCAUGAUGGGAGGCUCCUAGGAAGAGNGGUGGGCACAAGGGCCCUGUCCUGACAGCAUGCAUAUGGGCAGCAGAGUUCCUGCUGUGUUAUGGCUCCUCCCACCCUGAACCGUGGGCAGGGCAGGGCAGGGCAGGGCUGUUUACCAGCAGUGUGUAUGAGGAUCUGGAUUUGGUUAAGAUGAAACAUGAAGAUGAUUUAAUUUUGUACA